GUUUACGCGUGGGUUCCUUCUAGCCCACGGGUUCGCCCCCUCGCACCAAGAUGGCGGCAGAAGCAGCUGGUGGGAAAUACAGAGGCACAGUCAGCAAAAGCAAAGACCCCUCGGGGCUGCUCAUCUCUGUGAUCAGGACCCUGUCUACCAGUGAUGAUGUUGAGGACAGAGAAAACGAGAAGGGGCGGCUGGAAGAAGCCUAUGAGAAGUGUGACCGCGACCUGGAUGAACUGAUCGUGCAGCACUACACAGAAUUGACCACAGCCAUUCGCACGUACCAGAGCAUCACUGAGCGCAUCACUAACUCCCGAAACAAAAUAAAGCAGGUGAAAGAGAAUCUGCUUUCAUGCAAGAUGCUGUUGCACUGCAAACGAGAUGAGCUUCGGAAAUUGUGGAUUGAAGGGAUUGAACAUAAGCAUGUCCUGAACCUGCUGGAUGAAAUUGAGAACAUCAAGCAAGUGCCUCAGAAGCUGGAACAGUGCAUGGCCAGCAAGCACUAUCUCAGUGCCACUGACAUGCUGGUGUCAGCAGUCGAGUCUUUGGAGGGGCCUCUGCUCCAGGUGGAAGGACUGAGUGACCUUAGGUUGGAACUUCACAGCAAGAAGAUGAAUCUGCACUUGGUUCUCAUAGACGAGCUGCACCGGCACCUGUACAUCAAAUCCACUAGCCGAGUUGUGCAGCAGAACAAGGAAAAAGGGAGGAUGAGCUCCCUUGUGAAAGAUGCUUCUCCUGUUCCCCUGAUUGACGUUACCAACCUUCCUACUCCUCGAAAAUUCCUUGAUACCUCUCAGUUUUCUACUCCUGGAAGCUCAAGUGUGAAGGAGAUAAACCUCCAGGACAUCAGGGAGGAUUUGGAUUUGGAUCCCGAGGAGAAUAGCACUCUUUUUAUGGGCAUCCUCAUCAAGGGGCUGGCCAAACUGAAGAAGAUCCCAGAGACAGUGAAGGCAAUCACAGAACGCUUAGAGCAGGAGCUGAAGCAAAUUGUGAAGCGGUCUACAACCCAGGUGGCUGACAGUGCCUAUCAGAGGGGAGAGAACCUCACGGCCGAGAACCAACCAAGAUUACUGCUAGAACUGCUGGAGUUGCUGUUUGACAAGUUUAAUGCUGUAGCCACUGCACACUCUGUGGUCCUGGGAUACCUGCAAGAUGCUGUUGUGACUCCACUGACGCAGCAGGAAGAUGUCAAAUUGUAUGACAUGGCAGAUGUGUGGGUGAAGAUCCAAGAUGUUCUACAGAUGCUGUUGACCGAGUACUUGGAUAUGAAAAAUACUCGUACGGCCUCUGAACCGUCAGCUCAACUGAGUUACGCCAGCACUGGACGAGAGUUUGCAGCCUUUUUUGCCAAGAAGAAACCUCAAAGGCCCAAAAAUUCUCUUUUCAAAUUCGAAUCGUCCUCCCAUGCCAUCAGUAUGAGCGCCUAUUUGCGGGAACAGAGAAGGGAGCUGUACAGUCGGAGUGGAGAACUUCAAGGGGGUCCUGAUGACAACUUAAUUGAAGGUGGGGGAACAAAAUUUGUCUGCAAACCUGGAGCCAGAAAUAUUACCGUCAUAUUCCAUCCUUUACUAAGAUUUAUUCAGGAGAUAGAGCAUGCUCUGGGACUUGGCCCAGCCAAACAGUGUCCUCUUCGAGAGUUUCUUACCGUGUACAUCAAAAACAUCUUCCUCAAUCAAGUCUUGGCUGAGAUCAACAAGGAGAUUGAAGGAGUCACUAAAACAUCUGAUCCCUUGAAGAUCCUCGCUAAUGCAGACACCAUGAAAGGGCUGGGGGUGCAGCGGCCUCUCCUACAGAGCACAAUCAUUGUGGAGAAGACAGUGCAAGACCUCUUGAACCUGAUGCAUGACUUGAGUGCCUACUCGGAUCAGUUCCUCAACAUGGUGUGCGUGAAGCUCCAGGAGUACAAGGACACCUGCACUGUGGCCUACAGGGGCAUUGUCCAGUCUGAAGAAAAACUUGUCAUCAGUGCAUCUUGGGCAAAAGAUGAUGAUAUCAGCAGGCUUCUGAAAUCUCUUCCAAACUGGAUGAAUAUGGCUCAACCCAAACAGCUGAGGCCAAAGAGAGAAGAGGAAGAAGAUUUCAUAAGGGCAGCCUUUGGCAAGGAAUCAGAAGUUCUUAUUGGGAACCUGGGUGAUAAAUUAAUCCCUCCACAAGACAUCCUCCGUGACGUCAGCGACCUCAAAGCCUUGGCCAACAUGCAUGAAAGCUUGGAAUGGUUAGCAGGUCGAACGAAGUCGGCUUUCUCCAAUCUUUCUACAUCCCAGAAUCUGUCUCCUGCUCAAGACAGCCACAUGAACGUGGAUCUCCCUCCAGUGUCGGAGCAGAUCAUGCAAACCCUGAGCGAACUUGCCAAAUCUUUCCAGGACAUGGCUGACCGCUGCUUGCUGGUCCUCCAUCUGGAAGUCAGGGUUCACUGUUUCCACUAUCUCAUCCCUCUUGCGAAGGAGGGGAACUAUGCCAUUGUCGCUAAUGUGGAAAGCAUGGACUAUGACCCCCUGGUGGUCAAGCUCAACAAGGACAUCAGUGCCAUUGAAGAGGCCAUGAGUGCCAGCCUCCAGCAGCACAAGUUCCAGUAUAUAUUUGAAGGCCUAGGACACCUGAUCUCCUGCAUCCUCAUUAACGGUGCCCAGUACUUCAGGCGCAUCAGUGAGUCUGGCAUCAAGAAAAUGUGUAGGAACAUUUUUGUCCUUCAGCAAAAUUUGACCAACAUCACCAUGUCGCGGGAGGCAGACCUGGACUUCGCAAGGCAGUACUACGAGAUGCUGUACAACACGGCCGAUGAGCUCCUGAACCUGGUGGUGGACCAGGGCGUGAAGUACACGGAGCUGGAGUACAUCCAUGCCCUGACCCUGCUGCACCGCAGCCAGACGGGGGUGGGAGACCAGACCACCCAGAACAUGAGGCUGCAGCGGCUCAAGGAGAUCAUCUGCGAGCAGGCUGCCAUCAAGCAGGCCACCAAGGAUAAGAAAAUAACUACAGUUUAACUGGGUGCACGGCAGGGCGGGGUGGGGGGAGUGGUCAUCUCUGUUUCCUUCGUCAUAUUCCUCCCUUGGGUAUGUUGUCUGGUAUAUUCUGAGCUGAUUUAGUUUUCUCUGCGCUGAUUCUUGAGUGGAGAGAAGGUGUAAGGAUCUUUUUCUCUUCAGCUUUGGCUUUUCAUAUAAACUCUAAAGGGAGUUUGCAGUACUGGAUGCUCUGAUUUAACAUUUAUUUUAAUGCUGUCAAUUCCAGAGGGUCUAGGGUGGGAUGGGGAGGAAGGUUGUGUCAAAUUGGACUCUGAAAAAAAUGCAUGAAUUACUAAUGCCCAGCGAUCUUUGGAAAGUAGAUUGUUACCUAAGUUUUAGUCCCUUCCUAAAACCGCUUAAUAGGGUUCUAGAACAUAAAGAGUAGAAUUUCUGUUCUCUUGCCCUUGUCAGUUUGCAAUUCGAUGUCAACAGCUUCCCAGCUGGCUGCAGUUUUCAACAAAUUUCCCAAACCAAAACAGGACAGAGCUUUGCGGGAAAAGUCCUUUUAUCUCAGUCCUUAGGAGAGUUUUGUAUGCAGUAGCCCGGACACAAGUUAUAGGUUGGUUGAUGCCUUUUUUGUUUUUAUUUCUGCUGCAUCAAAACCAAGAACUGUCAAAUUAGUGACAAAAAUGGAAGAAUGAAAGGUGAUUCAACCAUCUUCUGGAUUUUUCUCCUCCACCCUCCAAGAUAAAAUCAUGGUUAGAGAACUUUGAAUCUCACUUGAAACAUUGUCUGGAUGUGGAAGAUUCUUAAAUACUCGCUCUCUUUAUGAGCCCUUAGGUCUUUCUCACCUUAGAAGGUAACCCAGAUGAGUACCAGGAAGCUGAAACAGCCAUGAUGUUCCUCCUCUGUGCACGCAUCAGCUGUGGCCAUUUCCAAAGUGCUCCCGGCUGGUGUAGGAGCUCACUGUGUCCAGUACACUGCGCCUGCCCACGUCUCCAAGUGCUCUUGCUGCCUGUGGUUGACGUGUCACAGAAGAAAGCAAUGCGCUGAUUGAAACAUGGCUUGAAAACACGUGGAAAGGAGAGCAGGAAGGACUUGGACCACGUGAGCAACAUUCCAUGAGAACCCAGGAUGUGCCCAGUGCUGCCAGGCAUGUAGGCGGAUGCUAGAUAAUGAGGACACCCUUAUUACCCACCCCGAAGGCAUUUGGGAGCUGGACGCCAACCAGAACCUUAAGAGAUGUGCGUGCAGGCUCAGUCAGAAACCAGGCCAGAGGGGCAGCUGUGAAGGGAAUUCAGCAGGCAGCUGGAGGACGGUCCUGUCUUCCACAGGACUCGGGAAAGGAUGUUAUAAAUCUGUGUAACUUCAGAGGCCCAAUUGGAAUGAAGAUGAAUCUAUGUGGAGACAAUCAUGGGAAAAUACACAGCAUCAUUGGAAGUCAUUGGUGGAUGGUCAAGUGGAUGCGGAUGAGCAGGGCACAGCCACCUCAGAACCGACCGUCAUUUAGGGCGCAGUGGAGAUUUCCACAUGUUGCCAUGCUACUUUGGGGAUGUUUUGUGGGACUGCUUUUUUGCUGUUCACAGCCAUGACUGGAAGUCACUCACGAGCUCCAACAAGCAUGCCCGCUGAUAGGUAGCCACAAGAGUUCACUCUGGCCAUGAAGACCACUCCCUAAGUGUGCUGCUGCAGCUAAAAUGCCAAUCAAAUAGGCCUCCCCAGAAAGAGCACUAAAACAAAGCAAACCACUAUCUUGUUCUUCUACAAAGCGACAGAGUGGACGCAUGUUGCAUGCUGCCUACACUACUGUCAGCACCAUGGAGAAGGCUCACGAGGACCCAUCCUGAAGUGGGCAAGAGACGAGAGCACGAGGAAGGAGGGCUUUGAGGUGAGAUCCAGCCUGGACAUCAGAGAACUAGCUCCAUAAGCAAUAGCUGCCCCCAGGAAGAGCUGCCUUCUCUCAUUGUCACUGUCUCCUCCUCUCUGGUACCUAACACCUCCCAUUCCUUAAAGCAGCCAUGUCGUGAAUACUUUCUUUCCCUCCAUACCCAAGGGGCUGGAAAAUAAACAGUAAAGGAGUCUCAACUUAGCCUUCCUUAGACUAGAUUCCUUAAGGAAGGAAUUGAAUUCAGAUUGGCUCCAACUCUUGAUAUAUUUUGGCAAAUUGUGUUCUGAGAACUACUGUUGGUGGUUUCUUCUUCUUCACUGUUUUGUUACUUUUGAUUAUCGUAUUAUCACUUGUCAUUGCACCUCUUAAUUUAUAACCAGUACUCUGGAUGAUAUUGUGUUGUUCACCCCGCAAGCACUCAUUUUUACCUGUGCUCUGGAUACAGUUUGUCUCAGGGACUUUCAUCCUAGUACAGUGUUGUUAUUCCUACUUCACAAUGGAUUUUUUUCAUCUUACUGCCCAAGUAGAACUUUCCCCCUCUCACAUGUGAUUACAUCUCUGCUGAUUAGAUGAUGAACAAAGAUACACAUUCCUCAGGCAGCCCUUGGCCAAAGAGGGCCCCUGCUUCCAAACUGUGAAAGACAAGCAGACAAGUCAGCUCAAAGUCACUGGUAGGACCAGGCCUAAGUUCCCACAGCCCAUACCCUUGAGACAGUCAGUCUUGCAGAACGUGGCGAGGGGCCGUCCACCUGGAAUUACUGCCCUCCGCAGAGUGACCUCAGUCACAGACGCUCCAGCUCCUCUCCAAGACCUCAUUCUUGCCUGAAUGUUUUCUUAGCCAGACAGGCAUUAAUUUAUGUUUCAAAUAGCUUGAGAAGAAAAUCUCAAAUUCAGCCAAGUUGAAUUGGCAACGAAAGCCGAAUCAUUCUUACUGUCAAGUCAUAUCCGUGAAUGUCUUAGCCCUAAGGCGUGCGUUCAGUCAAUCCAAAAGAUCUAAUUGCCUGUUACAGUAGUAACAAAUCCUGAUCCAGAUUCAUGCAACGGUAAGCGAAAGAGACAGCCCCUUGUGGGACACGGAGCGUGUACUUCUCCUCUAAUGAAGAGUCAUACAGCUUCUGCUCAGAUCUUGCCCUUCCCAGAGUCCAUAUUGCCCAAGGCUACCCUUUCAUUUAGGAAGACAUCUGAUAGGAUGGAGGACUGACAUCUUCAGCCCAACGCCCUGCUACCCUCUGACUGUAUCUCACUGUUCCCUCCUUAACUAGCAAAGAGCUGGGAAGUUCACCCUUGGCCGUUUGUUGAUGGAAAUAGACUCCUGCCUCACAGGUUCCAUGAAUGUACCAAGGCCAUUACAUCCAGGAUUCUUGCUCUGAGACAUGGCUGUGGCUGCCUCCCCAGAACCAGGGCACAGAAAUCUCACAGGAAACAACAGAGGGAACCCAGGAUUCGACAAGCCCAAGCUUGACUUCACUCCAUCGGAGGCAAAUCUGAUGAAAAGACCAGCAAAAUGGCUGUCAUUCUGGCAGGAUGUGCAAACAAGGAGUGUCCUGAUUAACAAAAUUUUGCUUGAAAAGCAUUAUGUGCGUGUGUGUGUGCGUGUGUGUGUGCGUGUGUGUGUGUGAUAAUACACACACCUGAGAGCAAUUGUCUUAAUGUGGCAAGGAUGUAAAACAAAUUGGGCAUAAUUUGGAGGGAGGGUAAUGAGGUACCGAGAACAAGAAAACAAAGGAUGACUGGGCUCAGCAAAGGUCUCGACUCCAUCCUAAUUAGGCACAGUUGUUCUAAGAAGCACAUAAUUAAUAGGCAUAUGACCAGAUGUGAAAUGCAGCAGAGAUUCUUCCUGAAUUGGAAGUUGUACUGAAGUGUACACAGCUGGAAGUGGUUGUCCUAAUUCGGCUGAGGCAGAAGGCCUGCCUGGAAUUUUGAAGAGGUGUAGUAGGAGGCGCACCACGGGUUUACACCUGAAAACAACUAAUCGUAUUCCAACUGGGCUGGGGUGUAAUGAGAUAGAGCUAAUUAGCAAGCGUGUGAUGAGAUGCAAAAGGCCCUGGAAUUGAGCUGGAAAUAUCUUUAAAAGUGAACUAAGCUGCAAACCCCAGAGAAGCAUUUCUGCUAAUGGAGCUAGGUGUGAGUGUGACACAGUGUGACAGGUCUGAGGUGCAUACCUGGGCCAGAGACUUACGCCUGUAAUUAAAAAUAUCGCUGGGACAUUCACACACCUGGAGCAGGAGUCCCUGGGAACCCGAGAAGGCAAUGACCUGUAAAAGCUGCACGUGUAUUUUUUUUAAUGUAUAUAGUUUAUUUAUGUACGUACAAUGAGGGGAAAAAAGGUGCUGUCAGGUGAGCAUAGUUAUUAUAUUCAAUCUCAUUUAGAAAUGUGGCCUCAGAUUCCUGCUGACUUUGCAAAUAGAUACUCUAGGAGGAGAAAAAUUGGCACUCUCCUCUGCCCAAACUUAUUUAGUUACCUACCAGGCUGAGUUUUCCUGCAUAAGAAUUUAUUUACUGUGAGAGAGCAGGGACCCCUUGGUACCUGGUUUCUGUUGCUGUUUCUGUUUUACGAUUGCUGUUACAUUAUUAUAGAUGCCAUUUGCUGAACACUGAAUGUGUGUCAGAUGCUGUGCUAAAUGCUUCACCAUAAACUUCCAUUUAAUCCUCACAGAAAUCCUAUGAGACAGAUACUAUGAGCAUCCCUACUUUCCACAGGAAACUAAGGCUCAGAUGAAGGACCGGACCCCAGGCCGAUGCUGACACCUGGGUUCAUUUUUGGAACCUUCUCUGUUCUCUGUCCUGAGCCAAACUUCUCAUCCCGUGUGGCAAAGGGAGAGUCCCUCACACGGCCAUUGGAGUUCUAAGUGACAUUCUCUGGUAGUUUGACACCUCCAUUUGCUUUGUCCUCUCCUGUGGCCCCCAGAGGGAGCCAUUCCCGAGCUGAAUUUGGGGCUGCCUGCCUUUCUCCUCUGCUCCUCCUCAGCCCCCUCCUGCCGGAGCCCCCUGUGGCCAGCACAUCAGCAUAAUUCUUGGAAACAGAGCCCUUCGGCACAGGGGCUGAGCCCAGCCAGCUGGAGCCCCAGAAGGGACCCACACCUUGGCCAUAGGCUGGAGGGAUGGGGAGGUGGGGGCUUAAUGCUCAGGUUUUAGAAUAUGCUCUGCCUUGGCUCAGAAUGUCACUUCGGCCUUUUACAAGUGGUUUGCUGUUGUACAAGUUACCAAACGCCCUAGGCCUCAGUUUCCUCAUCUGUGAAGUAAUAAUAAUAGCUCGGUCCAACACUAUUGCUCUAUAAAGUAAGAGAAGGGUGUUCAGUGCCUGGAACAUAAUGAGUACUAUGUAUACAUAAUAAAUAAUAUUCUAAUAAAGGUA